AACGAACGCUGGCGGCAGGCUUAACACAUGCAAGUCCAAAGCCCCGCAAGGGGAGUGGCAGAAGGGUGAGUAACGCGUGGGAAUCUACCCAGAUCUUCGGAACAACUGAGGGAAAAUUCACCUAAUACCGGCUACGCCCUACGGGGGAAAUAUUUAUCGGUUCUGGAGGAGCCCGCGUUGGAUUAGCUAGUUGGUGGGGUAAUGGCCUACCAAGGGGACGAUCCAUAGCUGGGCUGAGAGGAUGAGCAGCCACACUGGGACUGAGACACGGCCCAGACUCGUACGGGAGGCAGCAGUGGGGAAUAUUGGACAAUGGGCGAAAGCCUGAUCCAGCCAUGCCGCGUGAGUGAUGAAGGCCUUAGGGUUGUAAAGCUCUUUCAGUGGGGAAGAUAAUGACGGUACCCACAGAAGAAGCCCCGGCUAACUUCGUGCCAGCCGCCGCGGUAACAC
rnacentral:rRNA from 1 species